UACGUAGGGUGCAAGCGUUAAUCGGAAUUACUGGGCGUAAAGCGUGCGCAGGCGGUUCGGAAAGAGAGGUGUGAAAUCCCAGGGCUUAACCUUGGAACUGCACUUUUAACUACCGGGCUAGAGUACGUCAGAGGGGGGUAGAAUUCCACGUGUAGCAGUGAAAUGCGUAGAGAUGUGGAGGAAUACCGAUGGCGAAGGCAGCCCCCUGGGAUGAUACUGACGCUCAGGCACGAAAGCGUGGGGAGCAAACAGG
rnacentral:rRNA from 1 species